GAUGAACGCUAUCGACAGGCUUAACACAUGCAAGUCGAGGGGCAGCACAGGUAGCAAUAUCGGGUGGCGACCGGCGCACGGGUGAGUAACGCGUAUGCAACUUGCCUAUCAGAGGGGGAUAACCCGGCGAAAGUCGGACUAAUACCGCAUGAAGCAGGGGCCCCGCAUGGGGAUAUUUGCUAAAGAUUCAUCGCUGAUAGAUAGGCAUGCGUUCCAUUAGGCAGUUGGCGGGGUAACGGCCCACCAAACCGACGAUGGAUAGGGGUUCUGAGAGGAAGGUCCCCCACAUUGGUACUGAGACACGGACCAAACUUCUACGGGAGGCAGCAGUGAGGAAUAUUGGUCAAUGGGCGUAAGCCUGAACCAGCCAAGUCGCGUGAGGGAUGAAGGUUCUAUGGAUCGUAAACCUCUUUUAUAAGGGAAUAAAGUGCGGGACGUGUCCCGUUUUGUAUGUACCUUAUGAAUAAGGAUCGGCUAACUCCGUGCCAGCAGCCGCGGUAAUACGGAGGAUCCGAGCGUUAUCCGGAUUUAUUGGGUUUAAAGGGUGCGUAGGCGGCCUUUUAAGUCAGCGGUGAAAGUCUGUGGCUCAACCAUAGAAUUGCCGUUGAAACUGGGAGGCUUGAGUAUGUUUGAGGCAGGCGGAAUGCGUGGUGUAGCGGUGAAAUGCUUAGAUAUCACGCAGAACCCCGAUUGCGAAGGCAGCCUGCCAAGCCAUGACUGACGCUGAUGCACGAAAGCGUGGGGAUCAAACAGGAUUAGAUACCCUGGUAGUCCACGCAGUAAACGAUGAUCACUAGCUGUUUGCGAUACAGUGUAAGCGGCACAGCGAAAGCGUUAAGUGAUCCACCUGGGGAGUACGCCGGCAACGGUGAAACUCAAAGGAAUUGACGGGGGCCCGCACAAGCGGAGGAACAUGUGGUUUAAUUCGAUGAUACGCGAGGAACCUUACCCGGGUUUGAACGCAUUCGGACCGAGGUGGAAACACCUUUUCUAGCAAUAGCCGUUUGCGAGGUGCUGCAUGGUUGUCGUCAGCUCGUGCCGUGAGGUGUCGGCUUAAGUGCCAUAACGAGCGCAACCCUUGCCACUAGUUACUAACAGGUGAUGCUGAGGACUCUGGUGGGACUGCCAGCGUAAGCUGCGAGGAAGGCGGGGAUGACGUCAAAUCAGCACGGCCCUUACAUCCGGGGCGACACACGUGUUACAAUGGCGUGGACAAAGGGAUGCCACCUGGCGACAGGGAGCGAAUCCCCAAACCACGUCUCAGUUCGGAUCGGAGUCUGCAACCCGACUCCGUGAAGCUGGAUUCGCUAGUAAUCGCGCAUCAGCCAUGGCGCGGUGAAUACGUUCCCGGGCCUUGCACA
rnacentral:rRNA from 1 species